UGGGGAAUUUUGGACAAUGGGGGAAACCCUGAUCCAGCCAUCCCGCGUGUGCGAUGAAGGCCUUCGGGUUGUAAAGCACUUUUGGCAGGAAAGAAACGUCGCGGGUUAAUACCCCGCGAAACUGACGGUACCUGCAGAAUAAGCACCGGCUAACUACGUGCCAGCAGCCGCGGUAAUACGUAGGGUGCAAGCGUUAAUCGGAAUUACUGGGCGUAAAGCGUGCGCAGGCGGUUCGGAAAGAAAGAUGUGAAAUCCCAGAGCUUAACUUUGGAACUGCAUUUUUAACUACCGGGCUAGAGUGUGUCAGAGGGAGGUGGAAUUCCGCGUGUAGCAGUGAAAUGCGUAGAUAUGCGGAGGAACACCGAUGGCGAAGGCAGCCUCCUGGGAUAACACUGACGCUCAUGCACGAAAGCGUGGGGAGCAAACAGGAUUAGAUACCCUGGUAGUCCACGCCCUAAACGAUGUCAACUAGCUGUUGGGGGCCUUUCGGGCCUUGGUAGCGCAGCUAACGCGUGAAGUUGACCGCCUGGGGAGUACGGUCGCAAGAUUAAAACUUAAAGGAAUU
rnacentral:rRNA from 1 species